UCCUGGCUCAGAGUGAACGCUGGCGGCGUGCUUAACACAUGCAAGUCGAACGAGAACAUGCAGUAGCAAUACUGUGAUGCUAAGUGGCGCACGGGUGAGUAAUGUAUAGGUAACAUGCCCUUAAGAGGGGGAUAACAGAGGGAAACCUCUGCUAAUACCCAUAACCCUUCUUAUCAUAAGAUAAGUUGGCAAAGUUUUUUCGCUUAAGGAUUGGCCGUGUAUAGUAUCAGCUUGUUGGUGAGGUAAUGGCUCACCAAGGCUAUGACGCUUAACUGGUCUGAGAGGAUGAUCAGUCACACUGGCAACUGAGACACGGUCCAGACUCCUACGGGAGGCAGCAGUGGGGAAUAUUGCACAAUGGGGGAAACCCUGAUGCAGCAACGCCGCGUGGAGGAUGACACCUUUCGGAGCGUAAACUCCUUUUCUGUUAGACGAUAAUGACGGUAUAACAGGACUAAGCACCGGCUAAC
rnacentral:rRNA from 1 species